AAAUUGAAGAGUUUGAUCAUGGCUCAGAUUGAACGCUGGCGGCAGGCCUAACACAUGCAAGUCGAGCGGUAGCACAGAGAGCUUGCUCUCGGGUGACGAGCGGCGGACGGGUGAGUAAUGUCUGGGAAACUGCCUGAUGGAGGGGGAUAACUACUGGAAACGGUAGCUAAUACCGCAUAACGUCGCAAGACCAAAGAGGGGGACCUUCGGGCCUCUUGCCAUCAGAUGUGCCCAGAUGGGAUUAGCUAGUAGGUGGGGUAACGGCUCACCUAGGCGACGAUCCCUAGCUGGUCUGAGAGGAUGACCAGCCACACUGGAACUGAGACACGGUCCAGACUCCUACGGGAGGCAGCAGUGGGGAAUAUUGCACAAUGGGCGCAAGCCUGAUGCAGCCAUGCCGCGUGUAUGAAGAAGGCCUUCGGGUUGUAAAGUACUUUCAGCGGGGAGGAAGGUGUUGAGGUUAAUAACCUCAGCAAUUGACGUUACCCGCAGAAGAAGCACCGGCUAACUCCGUGCCAGCAGCCGCGGUAAUACGGAGGGUGCAAGCGUUAAUCGGAAUUACUGGGCGUAAAGCGCACGCAGGCGGUCUGUCAAGUCGGAUGUGAAAUCCCCGGGCUCAACCUGGGAACUGCAUUCGAAACUGGCAGGCUAGAGUCUUGUAGAGGGGGGUAGAAUUCCAGGUGUAGCGGUGAAAUGCGUAGAGAUCUGGAGGAAUACCGGUGGCGAAGGCGGCCCCCUGGACAAAGACUGACGCUCAGGUGCGAAAGCGUGGGGAGCAAACAGGAUUAGAUACCCUGGUAGUCCACGCCGUAAACGAUGUCGACUUGGAGGUUGUGCCCUUGAGGCGUGGCUUCCGGAGCUAACGCGUUAAGUCGACCGCCUGGGGAGUACGGCCGCAAGGUUAAAACUCAAAUGAAUUGACGGGGGCCCGCACAAGCGGUGGAGCAUGUGGUUUAAUUCGAUGCAACGCGAAGAACCUUACCUACUCUUGACAUCCAGAGAACUUUCCAGAGAUGGAUUGGUGCCUUCGGGAACUCUGAGACAGGUGCUGCAUGGCUGUCGUCAGCUCGUGUUGUGAAAUGUUGGGUUAAGUCCCGCAACGAGCGCAACCCUUAUCCUUUGUUGCCAGCGGU
rnacentral:rRNA from 1 species